UUCUAAUAUUUUUAUCUAUGUCUUCUUUAGAUAUAUGCUCAACAUUUUUUUCAUAUUUGUCAUUUUUUUUUACCUGAUAGAUUAUUUCUGAUCUGAUUUCCUCUAUAGCCUCAUGGUGUUUCUUCACUUCAGUUGCUAUCUUUUCAGAUAUUUCAGUUGUGUAAUUUUUGGUUUCGUCUAUGUCAGUGUCUCCUGGCUUGUUCUCAGUGGACUGGAGGUCUGAGAUUGUGACCUGGCCUGUGGGUAAGUCCACAGAGACCCUAGAGGAGGAUUGGGGAAGAAAAGGAAAUUAGAGACACAAUGAGCAGAGACAAGGUGAGGAAGUCCAAUCAAGUCUCCAUUCAAGGAAUGAGUAUCAAAUAUAUAGGAUAUUGGGGAGGAGGGAUUUCAGUGCUGAGACAUCAGCAGGUAACUUAGCAACAGUGGCUAGACUGACAUUUAUAGGUCCAUUCAAAUUUCUUGCACUCGGGCUCAAUAAGCAUAAUCCCGGAAUAAUGGGACAGGCUAAACAAGUUAUGCAAGGUGCUGCUUAAUUACCAAACUUAACUCCUAGAGGGAAUUAAGGUGGUGUGGCCUGCAGAUAUAAGGUGGCAGCCAAUUACAGGGAUUCCCACAAGACUGCAUUUUGCUCUUUCAUUUUGUCAUUUUCCUAUGUUCCUCCAAUUGAGCUGAUUAAGUCCAAGAUGCUUCUCAAGCUGACUGACAGUCCUGGGAUGUAAGUGAGUGGACCAAGUAUCUGGGUUCUUUUGAGCAGAGGUUCCUGAGCUGAUGGAAAAAUAGCAAACAGGGCUUUUGCCCUCCCUUAGCUCACUAUGGCUCCCUCCUGAUGGUGGAGGGUUUCUGGGUGGGGCUCUUCCAAAACCAUGCUUCUCCCUGGAGUGCUCCAUUGAUGGCUCCUGGGUGCUGCACUGGGCUGGGUGGAGCUUGGAUCCUCCAAGAUCUAUGAAGUUAGCCAGGGUGACUCCCCCAAAGGAUGACACCAGGAUGUUACUCUGCAUUGGGUAGAGCUCUGACCCUCAGAAUCCAUGUGGCUAGCCAGGGUGCACCCCCAAAGUAUGGCAACAGGACCUUGCAUUUGGAUCGGCAGGACUUGGAUCCUCCAGGACCCACGUGGCUAGUUGGAGUGCACCUGCAAAGUAUGGCACCAGGGCCUGAUGCUAGGCUGGGUAGGACUCAGAUCCUCCAGGAUCCUUGAGGCUGGCCAGGGUGCACCCUCAAAGUAUGGCUCUGGGCCUUCCACUGGGCUGGGUGGGACUCAGAUCCUCCAGGACUUGUGCAGCUAGCUGGGGCACACUCCCAAAGUACAGUGCCCUUGUGAGUCAGCUUGUAGCAGAAGAUGCCACUACCCCCAGCCAGUAUACUUCAGUUUCUUUGUUGCCCAAGUAGUAGUUUCAGUUCCAGUUCUGGUUGCUUCUGGUCUCUUAGAAAUGGCCAAUCUCACUGAACUCCAAGCACAAGAAGCUUCAAGUAUUCUGACCCAUCAUAAAUUUAUCACAAAUCCUAACUAAAAAUAUAUUCUAAAAUAUACAUUAUGAGCUAGGUGUGGUGAUACAUGCCUGCAAGACUAGCAUUCUGGAAAGUUGAGGCAGGAGAAUAACUCAAUUCAAGUCUGACCUGGGUAACUUAGCAAUUGAAGACUCUGUCUCACAAAACAGAGUACAGUAGAGUACAGGAGAAUAGAAUAGAAUAGUACAGAAUAGAAUGGCCUGAGAUGUAGCCUAGAACAAAGGGUAAAUCCCCAGUACCACAAGGAAAGCAAAGCAAAACACAUUAUGACCAAUGAGGUUUGUCCAAAAAAUGAAAACUUGGUUUAAUAUUUGAAAGCAAUCCCAUGUAAUUCACUUGACUGACAAACAAAAAAGAAAAAUCAUAUAAUUGUUUCAGUAGACACAAAAUCCAACAUCCAUUUCUUAUAAACUUGAAAUACCAGGGGAAAUUCUUUAACCAAAUAGAGGGCAUCUCUGAAAAAACCUAUGAAUCUUGUCAACAUAAGCAAGAGGAAGAAAGACAUCCCGAUAGAAAAGGAAGGAGAAAAACUGUUUUCAUUUGCAGCUAUGUUCAUCUAUGUAGAAAAUCUUAUGGAAACUGCAAAAGAGCUACUAGAACUAUAGGUAGUUUAGCAAGUUUGUAGGAUGUAAGAUCAAUAUGUAAAAAUCAAUUUUUACUUUGAUAUAUUAGCAACAUACAGAAAUUGAAAUUAAAAAACCAAUAAAUUUAAAAUAGAUUCAAAACUAAAAUAUUUUGUGAUAAAUGUGAUAAAGAAAUUACAAGUUCUAUACAAAAGAAGCUAGAAAGUAUUGCUGAGAGACAUUGUAAAAGAUCUAAAUGGAUCUGGAGAUGUCCUGUGUCCUUGGGAUAGAAGACUCAAUAAUGUCAAGAUGUCAGUUAUCCCUAAUUAUCUCCAAUUUGUUGAUCUAUAGAUUCAACAUAAAGUCCCAGCCAGCUUUUUUAAAACAUAGAUGGGUUAAUUCUAAGUUUAUAUGAAAAUGCAAGGGACCUAGAAUAGCAAAAACAAUGUUGAAAAAGUAACCAACUUAGAGAACUAACACUACCUGAUUCCAGAUAUAUUAUAAAGCACUAGUAGUUAAAACAAUGUGUCAUUAUAAGAAUAGACACAUAGAUUAAUGGAAUGGAGACUAAAAAUAGAUCAUAUAUGUAUUGGAAACAAACUUCUGUGUUUUCUUUUUAAAUAAAAUUUGACUUCAAGGUAGACCUCAAAAAGUUUUGAAGAUAGUACUGAACUCUCAUACCCAGUUUCCUCUAUUGUGAACAUCUUACAGUAGUAUAGUAUACUUGUCACAAUUAACAAAUGGAUAUUGAUGCAUUAUUAGUAACUAAAGUGUAUACUUUAUUCAUAUUUCCUUAAUUUUUUACUGAAUGUUCUUUUCAGGAUCCCAUCUAUGAAACCAUAUCACAUUCAGCCAUCUUAUCUUCUUAGGCAUCUAUACUGUAAGUGGUUUUCACACUUACCUUGUUUUUGAUGACCUUCACAGUUUUGAAGGUAUUGUGCUACCAGUCCAAGGUGGGAAGUUUCACUUGAGAUUUAUUGGGGCAGCUUGAAAAAAAGAUGUGGGGACUUAAGAAUGUCUCACAUGCCUUUACUAGCUCAGCAGCAAAAAGCAAUACUGAGAAAAGAAAAUCCCACUCCUGUAUUAUAUACAAUAUCACACAAAGUUGGCACGUUGCCAAAAAUUUAUAUAAUAGACUACUCAUGUACAUGUUCACUGUGCAUGUCCAGGCUACAUAACAUGCCAAUUCACUUGCAAGUGGAAGGCUGGGUGAAAAACCUCAGCCCAGCCAUCUUGUGUAUCUGCUAACUGGAAUUUAACAUUUUUCUAACAAUUAGACUGGAGUUAUAUAUUUGGGGGGAAAAGACUAUAGGGCUAAAAUGCCAUUCUCAUUACUCCCAUCAAGGACACAUACUAGCAACAUGACAUCAUUGUUCCUGUUAUCAAUUAUUCUAGAAUCUGCACCCGUAAAUCUAGUGGUCACUUGUUAGGACCUAGAGAGACUCAGGUCUCACAACUGAGAAAGAAAGGAAGUCAAACAUAGAAGCAGACAUGGCCAUUUUAUGUACCUGCAGUGCACUGGCCUCUGUACUAAGCAGUUUACAUGAAUUAUCUCAUUUUAUCCUCACUCAGUCCUACAAAGAAGAUACUAUCCUUUGUUCUAUACACAAAGAAACUGAAGAUGAUGGAAGUGAAAAGUAAUUUCUGCAAGGUUGCACACCAGAACAUAAUGCUAUUAUAUCCUACCAUCUCUCUCCCUUGCAGGCAAAGGAAGGCAGUUCAACAUUAAGAGUGUGUUAAUGAGCCAGGGUUGAUGGCACAUCUGUAAUCCCAGCGCUUUAAGGGUGAGGCAGAAGGAUUUUAAAUUUGAACGCAGUUUGGGUAAUUUAGUGACUUAGGCCCUGUCUCAAAAUAAAAAAUAAAACAGGGCUGGGAAUGUAGCUCAAGGCUCUCUGACUGUCAGCCAGACUGCCAGGUGGUCAGCAGUGGGGGUGGCGGGGUUGCAGUAGGGAGGCUCUGGUCACUGAAGGGACCUGUCAAAAAGCAAUGUUGAGACCCUUUUAGGUAAAUGCCAGAGCAAAAAGCUCUCAGCAACAUGUAGUUGUGAGAAGAAGGAAACAGUUGAAAGCAGUGUUCAAGGCAGUGUCAACUUGACCCAGAGUCAGUUCAGCUCUGCAAGCUGCUUCUGCCUGAAAAGGACGCCCUGUUCCCAGGUGGGAAGACCCUGAAGGCCUGAGGAUUAAAAGCAGAGGAGCCCUAGGGGCCAGAAGCCAUGCAUGUUAUUCAUCUCAGCUGUCCCUUCAAAUAUCCUAUGCCAGUUGUUUGUUGCUUACUUUCUUUUUCUGCCAAAAUAACUUUAUUGAGGCAAAUCAUGUAAAUUUAUCCUUUUCAAGUAUACAAUUCAAUGUUUUAGUAAAUGUAUCAAGUUAUGCAACCAUUGCCACCAGUCAGUUUUAGGACACUUUCAUCAGAACAGUGUGCUAUUCAUGCACACUCAUAGUUAAUUCCCCAUACCUCUUUACCGCUACCCACCCAACCCAUUCCCUAGGCAACCAUGAAUCAUCUGCCUGUAGAUUUCCCUGUUCUGAGUAUUUCAUUUUAAUGAAAUAAUACAAUAUGUGGCAUCUUAUGUUUGGCACCUUUCACAUGCACAUAUUUUUGAGGUUUAUCUUUUGGAGUGCGUAUUCAUAGUUUAUUCCUUUUUAUUGCAGAUUAGCACCCCAUUGGCAGGAUAUACUACAUGUUGUUUAUCCAUUUAUUGGUUUAUGAACCUUGGCUUUGUAUUCAGUUUUUGACUAUUCUGAAUAAUCCUAGCAAAAACAUUCAUAUGCAUCUCUGUGUAUCAAUAUGUUUUCAUUUCUCUUGUGCUACCCUAUCUUAAGCUUCUGUUUCUUUUUUUCUAAGUUUUUUCACAGUGCUAGAGAUCAAACCCAGGACCUUGUGCAUGUUAUCCAAGCACUGUACCACCAAAGCCUACCUCCACUCCUUCUUAUUUUUUAUUUUUGAGACAGGAUCUAAGUCAUUACGUUACCCAGACUCGAACUUGGGAUCCUUCUGCCUCAGACUCUUGAGUAGAUGAGAUUACAGUUACUUCACUGGCUUUCUACUGUCCUCUGGAUAAAACUCAAACCCUUAGUGUGACCACAGAAGGUGCUUUUUAUCUGUUCAAUUUUAUCUCUUGUGACUCUUUUGAAAGAGAAGGACCUCACAGAAUGAAGACACAUUAAGACAAAGCAAUGUAGAAAAAGAAAUCUUCCUCAGUGCUAGGUCAUGAGUUCCAUCCCCAAUACCAAGAAAAGAAAAGAAAAGAAAAGAAAAGAAAAGAAAAGAAAAGAAAAGAAAAGAAAAGUCGCUUACCCACUAAAAUUUAUGUGUAAUCCAGAGACAAUAUAUGCAGUGACCAUGUGCAAAGGGUUUGCUGUUUAAAAUGGUCUCAAGCAUAGUGUGGAAGUGCUGCCUGGUGUUUCUAAUUACAAGAAAAUACCUUACAGAAAAUGUGUUAAAUAAGAUUAAUUUAGGCGUGUGUGACAGAGCUGCUGGCCGUAAGAUCAGGGUUAAUGAAUCACCAAUAUGCAAUAAAUGAGAUGUCCUUAAACAGAAACACACUUAAAACAAGGGUCUCUAUGUAAUUUGGAGUAGCCUUACUGUGUGACCCAGACUGGCCUCAAACUCACAGCAAUCCUCCUGCCUCAGCCUCUGGAGUAUAUUUCAAUCACCAACAGACACAUCCAGAAUUUUCUAAUUUGCUGGGUAAUUCUUAUUCAAGUCAAAUCAGUGUAUCACAAUGAUCACAGCCUGUUAUGGUUUGCAUCUGGAUGUCAUCCCUCCAAAGCCUCAUAGUCAUGAAGGGGGGACUUUUCUGAGAUAGCUGAAUCUAAGGGGUGUGAUUGAUUCGGAGUACAAUGCUGGGAUUAAGGGUGGGCAUUACUGGAUCGGUCUAUUGAUUGGGUUGGCACUGCCCUAAUCUGAGUAGACUGGAUAAGAUAAAAGGGGCAGAAAGAGGCUUGUUUCUCCCUUUUCGCUCUGACUUGUUUUUGUUGUCUUCCACCAUGAACUGUGUUACUCUGCCUUGGACCCAGCCAAUUAUGGACUUAUACAUUUAUAAACUGUGAGCUAAAUAAACCUAUCCUCCUUUAAA